AUGAACGCUGGCGGCGUGCCUAAUACAUGCCCGUCGAGCGAACGGACGAGAAGCUUGCUUCUCUGAUGUUAGCGGCGGACGGGUGAGUAACACGUGGAUAACCUACCUAUAAGACUGGGAUAACUUCGGGAAACCGGAGCUAAUACCGGAUAAUAUUUUGAACCGCAUGGUUCAAAAGUGAAAGACGGUCUUGCUGUCACUUAUAGAUGGAUCCGCGCUGCAUUAGCUAGUUGGUAAGGUAACGGCUUACCGAGGCAACGAUGCAUAGCCGACCUGAGAGGGUGAUCGGCCACACUGGAACUGAGACACGGUCCAGACUCCUACGGGAGGCAGCAGUAGGGAAUCUUCCGCAAUGGGCGAAAGCCUGACGGAGCAACGCCGCGUGAGUGAUGAAGGUCUUCGGAUCGUAAAACUCUGUUAUUAGGGAAGAACAUAUGUGUAAGUAACUGUGCACAUCUUGACGGUACCUAAUCAGAAAGCCACGGCUAACUACGUG
rnacentral:rRNA from 1 species